rnacentral:rRNA from 1 species
GAUGAACGCUGGCGGCGUGCCUAACACAUGCAAGUCGAGCGAUUCUCUUCGGAGAAGAGCGGCGGACGGGUGAGUAACGCGUGGGUAACCUGCCCUGUACACACGGAUAACAUACCGAAAGGUAUGCUAAUACGAGAUAACAUAAGAAAUUCGCAUGUUUUUCUUAUCAAAGCUCCGGCGGUACAGGAUGGACCCGCGUCUGAUUAGCUAGUUGGUGAGGUAACGGCUCACCAAGGCGACGAUCAGUAGCCGACCUGAGAGGGUGAUCGGCCACAUUGGAACUGAGACACGGUCCAAACUCCUACGGGAGGCAGCAGUGGGGAAUAUUGCGCAAUGGGCGAAAGCCUGAUGCAGCAACGCCGCGUGAGCGAUGAAGGCCUUCGGGUCGUAAAGCUCUGUCCUCAAGGAAGAUAAUGACGGUACUUGAGGAGGAAGCCCCGGCUAACUACGUGCCAGCAGCCGCAGUAACAC